rnacentral:rRNA from 2 species
CUGCGAAUGGCUCAUUAAAUCAGUUAUCGUUUAUUUGAUAGUACCUUACUACUUGGAUAACCGUGGUAAUUCUAGAGCUAAUACAUGCUAAAAACCCCGACUUCGGGAGGGGUGUAUUUAUUAGAUAAAAAACCAAUGCCCUUCGGGGCUCUUUGGUGAUUCAUGAUAACUUAACGGAUCGCAUGGCCUUGCGCCGGCGACGGUUCAUUCAAAUUUCUGCCCUAUCAACUUUCGAUGGUAAGGUAUUGGCUUACCAUGGUUUCAACGGGUAACGGGGAAUUAGGGUUCGAUUCCGGAGAGGGAGCCUGAGAAACGGCUACCACAUCCAAGGAAGGCAGCAGGCGCGCAAAUUACCCAAUCCCGACUCGGGGAGGUAGUGACAAUAAAUACUGAUACAGGGCUCUUUUGGGUCUUGUAAUCGGAAUGAGUACAAUUUAAACCCCUUAACGAGGAACAAUUGGAGGGCAAGUCUGGUGCCAGCAGCCGCGGUAAUUCCAGCUCCAAUAGCGUAUAUUAAAGUUGUUGCAGUUAAAAAGCUCGUAGUUGAACCUUGGGCCUGGCUGGCCGGUCCGCCUCACCGCGUGUACUGGUCCGGCCGGGCCUUUCCUUCUGGAGAGCCGCAUGCCCUUCACUGGGUGUGUUGGGGAACCAGGACUUUUACUUUGAAAAAAUUAGAGUGUUCAAAGCAGGCCUUUGCUCGAAUACGUUAGCAUGGAAUAAUAGAAUAGGACGUGCGGUCCUAUUUUGUUGGUUUCUAGGACCGCCGUAAUGAUUAAUAGGGAUAGUCGGGGGCAUCAGUAUUCAAUUGUCAGAGGUGAAAUUCUUGGAUUUAUUGAAGACUAACUACUGCGAAAGCAUUUGCCAAGGAUGUUUUCAUUAAUCAGUGAACGAAAGUUAGGGGAUCGAAGACGAUCAGAUACCGUCGUAGUCUUAACCGUAAACUAUGCCGACUAGGGAUCGGGCGAUGUUUCUAUCUUGACUCGCUCGGCACCUUACGAGA